GAUGAACGCUGCCCGCGUGCCUAAUACCUGCAAGUCGAACGAAGCGGGGACGGGUGAGUAACACGUCGAUACCUUCCUAUCCGACUGGGAUAACUUCGGGGAACCGGGGCUAAACCGGAUACCUAUAGUUGCAUCCGCGCUGCAGUAGCUAGUUGGUAAGGUAACGGCUUACCAAGGCAACGAUGCAUAGCCGACCAUAGAGGGUGGUCGGCCAGACUGUGACUGAGGCACGCCCCAGACUCCUACGGGACGCAGCAUGAGGGAAUCAACCGCAAUGGGCGCAAGCCGGACGCAGCAACGCCGCGUGAGUGAAGAGGAUUGCGGGAUCGUAAAUCACUGUUAUGAGAGAAGCGGCACCUACACAGAAAGCGACGGCUAACUCCGCGACAGCAGCCGCGGUAAUAC
rnacentral:rRNA from 1 species